AGUUCAAUUUUCGAUGCUUCCAAGUUUCAGCAGUCCUGAUUCCUGAAGUUUUCUGGGAUUAACGUCGAUUGUAUAAUUACAUGGAUUCACAACCAGAUAUCAACAUCAGGGUCAGAGCUAGCAAUUUUUCUGGAAGGUUGAACUACUUGAAAAAAAAUGAAAGCUACAUUACUUCACACAGUUGGGAGAUCAAGGCUUUAUUUCUUGCUUGGCUCCUUGGACGGCGUUUAAACCUAGAUAAUUUGAAG